rnacentral:rRNA from 1 species
AAAAACAUUGCCUCUCGACUCAACAAUGAGAGGUUCAUCCUGCCCAAUGACAACAUAGUUCAAUGGCCGCGGUACCCUGACCGUGCAAAGGUAGCAUAAUCACUUGCCCCUUAAUUAGGGGCUGGCAUGAAAGGACACACGAAAGCUUCCCUGUCUCACAAUAACAAAUAAAAAUUAAUCUUCAAGUGAAAAAGCUUGAAUGAAACUGCAGGACAAGAAGACCCCGUUGAGCUUUAUUCUCUAUAGACUAAAUCAAAUAUUAAAUAUAUCAUAAACCUAAAAAGAAUUUAGUUGGGGUGACUAAGGAACACCAAAAACUUCCUUUUAUUAGUUAGGAUCAUUCUCCCUACAAAUUGACCCAUUACACAUGAUCAAAAAAAUAAGCUACCACAGGGAUAACAGGCUAAUCUUUCUCAAGAGCCCAAAUUGUCAGAAAGGAUUGGCACCUCGAUGUUGGCUUAGGGGCCCCUAAUGGUGCAGAAGCCAUAAAUGGUAGGUUUGUUCAACCUUUAAAACCCUACGUGAUC